rnacentral:rRNA from 1 species
CAUGCAAGUCGAACGAUGAAGCCCAGCUUGCUGGGUGGAUUAGUGGCGAACGGGUGAGUAACACGUGAGCAACCUGCCCCUGACUCUGGGAUAAGCGCUGGAAACGGCGUCUAAUACUGGAUAUGUCCCAUCACCGCAUGGUGUGUGGGUGGAAAGAUUUUUCGGUUGGGGAUGGGCUCGCGGCCUAUCAGCUUGUUGGUGAGGUAAUGGCUCACCAAGGCGUCGACGGGUAGCCGGCCUGAGAGGGUGACCGGCCACACUGGGACUGAGACACGGCCCAGACUCCUACGGGAGGCAGCAGUGGGGAAUAUUGCACAAUGGGCGCAAGCCUGAUGCAGCAACGCCGCGUGAGGGAUGACGGCCUUCGGGUUGUAAACCUCUUUUAGCAGGGAAGAAGCGAGAGUGACGGUACCUGCAGAAAAAGCACCGGCUAACUACGUGCCAGCAGCCGCGGUAAUACGUAGGGUGCAAGCGUUAUCCGGAAUUAUUGGGCGUAAAGAGCUCGUAGGCGGUUUGUCGCGUCUGCUGUGAAAUUCCGAGGCUCAACCUCGGGCUUGCAGUGGGUACGGGCAGACUAGAGUGCGGUAGGGGAGAUUGGAAUUCCUGGUGUAGCGGUGGAAUGCGCAGAUAUCAGGAGGAACACCGAUGGCGAAGGCAGAUCUCUGGGCCGUAACUGACGCUGAAGAGCGAAAGGGUGGGGAGCAAACAGGCUUAGAUACCCUGGUAGUCCACCCCGUAAACGUUGGGAACUAGUUGUGGGGUCCUUUCCACGGAUUCCGUGACGCAGCU